GUCGGGAGGGAAGCCGGAGCUCUGGAGGCGGAGGCUGAGCGGCUGAGGCGCUGGCGCCGAAGGUGCGCCCCUUGGACGGCUGCUGGGGCGCUUCUCACACUGUGGUAUUUGUGUCUCUGUCUCUCCGCCAGCUGGUUGGCUCCAUUAUCAGGAUUUUCCUAAUGGCCACAAGAUAGUUGCCAGCAAUAUUGGUUCACACUCAACGUGAAAAAGGAAGAUUGGAGCCAUGGGACUGAGUUCUGGCCAAUGGACUCUGGAUGGGAAUGGCAUACAUAUUGAUGGGGUGGCCUGGCCACCUUCUAGUCUUGGAGAGCAGAAGCAAAGUGCUCUGAGAAACUGGAGCCAUCUUGUGAAUAAGCCCUAAUACCUUAGUCACUGCGUGGAGGCAAGCCACCCAGGAGGUCAACUGGAUCCAGGUACACUGGACUUUGUGACACCAGCAACUAAACCUUUGAGGGACGCCUGGGUGGCUCAGUGGUUGAGUGCCUGCCUUUGGCUCAGGUCAUGAUCCUGGGGUCCUGAGAUUGAGUCCCUGCAUCAGGCUCCCCGUAGGGAGCCUGCUUCUC